AUCGCAGGUCACCCGAAUCCCAACUUUCUUGGUCUUCAAUUUUCCCAUCUUCACCACUACUUUGGUGUCCAGCUGAACCUUGAGCGCCGCCACACCAUUUUUCUUCUUCAGAUCGGAUCUGAGCCCAUUGACCGACUCGGAAUCAAGUUCAUUGGAGCCUGAAACAACCACGUUCCUAAGGCUGGUCUCGUUCUUGGUGGUCAGCGGAAACCCCAUUACAGUCCCGUUCCCGAGAAAAACAUCGCUGGAUAAGGAGGUGAUAGUGAAAGGGUCGUAGAAGAAAGAGAGAUGGGAAUUGGGG
rnacentral:lncRNA from 1 species